rnacentral:rRNA from 1 species
AGCAGCCGCGGUAAUUCCAGCUCCAAUAGCGUAUAUUAAAGUUGUUGCAGUUAAAAAGCUCGUAGUUGAAUUUCGGGGUCAGUAGGUCGGUCGUGCCACAGGUAUGCACUGGUCUCACUGAUUCCUCCUUCCUGAUGAACCGUAAUGCCAUUAAUUUGGUGUUGCGGGGAGACUGGACUGUUACUUUGAAAAAAUUAGAGUGUUUAAAGCAGGCUAACGCUUGAAUACAUUAGCAUGGAAUAAUGAAAUAGGACGUUUGAUUCUAUUUUGUUGGUUUCUAGGAUCGACGUAAUGAUUAAUAGGGAUAGUUGGGGGCAUUAGUAUUCAAUUGUCAGAGGUGAAAUUCUUGGAUUUAUUGAAGACUAACUACUGCGAAAGCAUUUGCCAAGGAUGUUUUCAUUAAUCAAGAACGAAAGUUAGGGGAUCGAAGACGAUCAGAUACCGUCGUAGUCUUAACCAUAAACUAUGCCGACUAGGGAUCGGAUGAUGUAAUUUUUAAUGACUCAUUCGGCGCCUUACG